rnacentral:sRNA from 1 species
CUUCUUGUUGGGCUCUCAGAUCGGGCCCAGGGGCUGCUUUUCGUGCCCGGGCCGGAGGGCCUGGCUGAGCACCUCAUCCCAGAACCGGCUCUGCCUGGCAGGGCCCCCGUGGUCACCUGAUCUUGCACCUGGCCCCAAAGGUGCAUCUGGUUCAGUGGUGCCCUUGCCUUGGUCCCAUGGCCUUGGAUGCUGGGCAGCCCACGAAACCAUCUCCCCCUCGGGGAACUUCAUGCUUCAGUGGCCCAACAAGAAGGAGCAGCAGAGUGAUGUAGGGAAACUGAGUCGCUCCUUAGGAGGAGAAGUCCCACAGAACAACGAGAAGCUUCAGGAGAGCCCGUGCAUCUUCGCAUUGACGCCAAGACAGGUGGAGUUGAUCCGGAACUCCAGGGAACUGCAGCCCGGAGUUAAAGCCGUGCAGGUCGUCCUGAGAAUCUGUUACUCAGACACCAGCUGCCCUCAGGAGGACCAGUACCCGCCCAACAUCGCUGUGAAGGUCAACCACAGCUACUGCUCGGUCCCGGGCUACUACCCCUCCAAUAAGCCCGGGGUGGAGCCCAAGAGGCCGUGCCGCCCCAUCAACCUCACCC